rnacentral:snRNA from 1 species
UUACAUUUUCUGACCUUUUGGGUAAAAUAAGAUAUAAGAUCUGUUCUUAUCAGUUUAAUAUCUGAUAUGUGGACCAUAUAUUCACUUUGAUAUUAAAUUUAUUUUUUAUUUUGGUAACAUAU